rnacentral:tRNA from 1 species
AAGCGGGGUAGCGCAGUUGGUCAGCGUGUCAGACUCAUGAUCUGGAGGUCGGAGGUUCGAGUCCUUCCCCCAC